UCUAGGGUUUCAUGAGAGUAUGAGGAUGAGCUUGGUAAGACGAUGCGACGGUGCGACGGUGUUGAGGACCUAACCAUCGCCUCCAACAAUGGUGGCUAGGGUUUCUUACAGAUCUGACGUAUAAUUUUCGGAGAGUUUUGGUAAAUUGGCGACCAUACAUACGAUAUCAGGUGAGUUCUGGUUUCGAUCGUUUAAUUUCCGGCCAUAUGAGUUUUGCUUUACGACUUUGCUUUUUGUUCUAAGCAAGUGUACGUCUCUUCUCUAGCCUUUCUCAAGAUGCUUAAACACAUUGUAAAGUGCACAAGUAUAAUGUCUUAUCCAUGAAUAUUAGACAUGUUUGAGGGGUACACC